GAGGAAGCCCGGUGCGAAGCCGGCGCGGUCCCGCCACUGUGAGCCGGGCGAAAGCCGGGCGAGCCAGGAACUC
rnacentral:ncRNA from 2 species